UACAGAGGGUGCGAGCGUUGUCCGGAGUCACUGGGCGUAAAGGGCGCGUAGGUGGCGGCCCAAGUCCAUGGUGAAAGCUCGAUGCUCAACAUCGAGUCGGCCACGGAUACUGGGUUGCUCGAGCACUGUAGGGGCAGAUGGAAUUCCGGGUGUAGCGGUGGAAUGCGUAGAGAUCCGGAAGAACACCGGUGGCGAAGGCGGAUCUCUGGGCCGAUACUGACGCUGAGGAGCGAAAGCGUGGGGAGCGAACAGG
rnacentral:rRNA from 1 species